rnacentral:rRNA from 1 species
AUUGAACGCUGGCGGCAGGCCUAACACAUGCAAGUCGAGCGGAUGAAGGGAGCUUGCUCCUGGAUUCAGCGGCGGACGGGUGAGUAAUGCCUAGGAAUCUGCCUGGUAGUGGGGGAUAACGUCCGGAAACGGGCGCUAAUACCGCAUACGUCCUGAGGGAGAAAGUGGGGGAUCUUCGGACCUCACGCUAUCAGAUGAGCCUAGGUCGGAUUAGCUAGUUGGUGGGGUAAAGGCCUACCAGGGCGACGAUCCGUAACUGGUCUGAGAGGAUGAUCAGUCACACUGGAACUGAGACACGGUCCAGACUCCUACGGGAGGCAGGAGGGGGGAAUAUUGGACAAUGGGCGAAAGCCUGAUCCAGCCAUGCCGCGUGUGUGAAGAAGGUCUUCGGAUUGUAAAGCACUUUAAGUUGGGAGGAAGGGCAGUAAGUUAAUACCUUGCUGUUUUGACGUUACCAACAGAAUAAGCACCGGCGAACUUCGU